CCUACGGGUGGCAGCAGUGAGGAAUAUUGGUCAAUGGCCGGAAGGCUGAACCAGCCAUGCCGCGUGAAGGUCAGUGCCCUAUGGGCGUUAAACUUCUUUUGUGCGGGAGCAAUAAUGGUCACGUGUGGCCAGACGAGAGUACCGUACGAAUAAGCAUCGGCUAACUCCGUGCCAGCAGCCGCGGUAAUACGGGGGAUGCAAGCGUUGUCGGGGUUUAAUGGGGUUAAAGGGGGCGUAAGCUGGGAGGUAAGUCAUCGGUGAAAAGCCGCCGUUCAACGGGGUGAAGUGCCAUUGAUACUGCCAUGCUAGAGUGCGGAUGCCGUGGGAGGAAUGUGUGGUGUAGCGGUGAAAUGCAUAGAGAUCACACAGAACACCGAUUGCGAAGGCAUCUCACGAAUCCGCGAUUGACGCUGAUGCACGAAAGCGUGGGUAUCAAACAGGAUUAGAUACCCUGGUAGUC
rnacentral:rRNA from 1 species